AUUGAACGCUGGCGGCAGGCCUAACACAUGCAAGUCGAACGGUAACAGGAAGAAGCUUGCUUCUUUGCUGACGAGUGGCGGACGGGUGAGUAAUGUCUGGGAAACUGCCUGAUGGAGGGGGAUAACUACUGGAGACGGUAGCUAAUACCGCAUAACGUCGCAAGACCAAAGAGGGGGACCUUCGGGCCUCUUGCCAUCGGAUGUGCCCAGAUGGGAUUAGCUAGUAGGUGGGGUAACGGCUCACCUAGGCGACGAUCCCUAGCUGGUCUGAGAGGAUGACCAGCCACACUGGAACUGAGACACGGUCCAGACUCCUACGGGAGGCAGCAGUGGGGAAUAUUGCACAAUGGGCGCAAGCCUGAUGCAGCCAUGCCGCGUGUAUGAAGAAGGCCUUCGGGUUGUAAAGUACUUUCAGCGGGGAGGAAGGGAGUAAAGUUAAUACCUUUGCUCAUUGACGUUACCCGCAGAAGAAGCACCGGCUAACUCCGUG
rnacentral:rRNA from 1 species